AUUUAUGGAGAGUUUGAUCCUGGCUCAGGAUGAACGCUGGCGGCGUGCCUAAUACAUGCAAGUCGAGCGAACGGAUAAGGAGCUUGCUCCUUUGAAGUUAGCGGCGGACGGGUGAGUAACACGUGGGUAACCUACCUAUAAGACUGGAAUAACUUCGGGAAACCGGAGCUAAUGCCGGAUAACAUAUAGAACCGCAUGGUUCUAUAGUGAAAGAUGGUUUUGCUAUCACUUAUAGAUGGACCCGCGCCGUAUUAGCUAGUUGGUAAGGUAAUGGCUUACCAAGGCGACGAUACGUAGCCGACCUGAGAGGGUGAUCGGCCACACUGGAACUGAGACACGGUCCAGACUCCUACGGGAGGCAGCAGUAGGGAAUCUUCCGCAAUGGGCGAAAGCCUGACGGAGCAACGCCGCGUGAGUGAUGAAGGUUUUCGGAUCGUAAAACUCUGUUAUUAGGGAAGAACAAAUGCGUAAGUAACUGUGCGCAUCUUGACGGUACCUAAUCAGAAAGCCACGGCUAACUACGUGCCAGCAGCCGCGGUAAUACGUAGGUGGCAAGCGUUAUCCGGAAUUAUUGGGCGUAAAGCGCGCGUAGGCGGUUUCUUAAGUCUGAUGUGAAAGCCCACGGCUCAACCGUGGAGGGUCAUUGGAAACUGGGAAACUUGAGUGCAGAAGAGGAAAGUGGAAUUCCAUGUGUAGCGGUGAAAUGCGCAGAGAUAUGGAGGAACACCAGUGGCGAAGGCGACUUUCUGGUCUGUAACUGACGCUGAUGUGCGAAAGCGUGGGGAUCAAACAGGAUUAGAUACCCUGGUAGUCCACGCCGUAAACGAUGA
rnacentral:rRNA from 1 species